rnacentral:rRNA from 1 species
UACGUAGGGUGCAAGCGUUGUCCGGAAUUAUUGGGCGUAAAGAGCUCGUAGGCGGUUCGUCGCGUCGGCUGUGAAAACCUGAGGCUCAACCUCAGGCCUGCAGUCGAUACGGGCGGACUUGAGUACUGCAGGGGAGACUGGAAUUCCUGGUGUAGCGGUGAAAUGCGCAGAUAUCAGGAGGAACACCGGUGGCGAAGGCGGGUCUCUGGGCAACAACUGACGCUGAGGAGCGAAAGCGUGGGGAGCGAACAGG